ACAAACAAAUGUCCCAAAGGCUGUCCAGAGAGGAGUGUGCCUGGCUGCACAGCAGUGACUCUGCCAGGCAUGUACAGUUCCUUUUGUUCAGGUCCCAGCUUCACUUCCCGGGAAUAUGGAUUUGCUGAUACAGUAGAGAUGAUAAAUCAGAGGGAGUGUGGAAAAACAAGAUGACUUCAAUUGUCUAAUCUGAAUGUGGAGGUCCUGAGACCGAAUCUCUGGUUGGCAAGAAAGAUAAAGCUGCUUCCCACUUAUGGACUUGAAAGAAAAAUUAUGAAUUGAAAAUUCUUCUGUUUCCUGCUCAGAAUAUUGGACCUUUAACAGGUAAACAGCAAAUUCUUAUACUCUGGAAAGAGAUUUCAAGAACUCUCAGGAAGAAAUAUGGAAGAAUGGGUAGCAGUAGUGGGUGGCCCUGCUUUGGGGGGCAAUCAUGCUAUUAUUAAGUUUUGGUGAAGAUACAUAUAGUAGCAUUCUAUGGGAAGAGAGCCGAUGGAAGAUCUUGUUCUCUGGUUGUUUGCAAGUCUUUACUUAAGCAUAGAAACGUGUUUGGGAUGGUCUCAGCUUGCUUUGAACUCCCUACUCAUUACAGCAGAGAAGGUAACUCCCACGAACAGCAAAGCUUUUUGGGUGUGGGUUUUAGAGAGCUUGAAAAUCAGGAUUAGUGGAGCAGGAGAUCUGCAUUGCCUAGUGACAAAACAGGGCGCUGCAGUCUGUGCUUGGAGCACUUCAGGAAAGAAAAUAGUAGUUGUGUGACUGCUUUACAAAU